rnacentral:rRNA from 1 species
UACGUAGGGAGCAAGCGUUGUUCGGAUUUACUGGGCGUAAAGGGCGCGUAGGCGGCGUGUUAAGUCGGCUGUGAAAUCUCCAAGCUCAACUUGGAACGGCCAGCUGAUACUGAUGUGCUAGAGUGCAGAAGGGGCAAUCGGAAUUCUUGGUGUAGCGGUGAAAUGCGUAGAUAUCAAGAGGAACAUCUGAGGUGAAGACGGGUUGCUGGGCUGACACUGACGCUGAGGCGCGAAAGCCAGGGGAGCAAACGGG